rnacentral:tRNA from 1 species
UGGGGUAUCGCCAAGUGGUAAGGCAACGGUUUUUGGUACCGUCACUCGCAGGUUCGAAUCCUGCUACCCCAUCCA